CUUGUUCUUUAAAUAGGGACUUGUAUCAACGGCACUACGAAGGCUACACUGUCUCCUUUUUCUAAUCAGUGAAACUGAUCUCCCCGUGAAGAAGCGGGGAUUAAAGUAUAAGACGAGAAGACCCCAUGGAGCUUUAAACUCACCAUGCACCUCUGUGCUCCUACACCCUUAAACACAAUAGGUCUGCAUGUUAGUUUUAGGUUGGGGUGACCACGGAGUAUAACUUAACCUCCAUAGCAAAUGGGCUAAUACCCUUAUCCACGAGACACAACUCUAAGAAUUAUUAAACUAAUGCUUACGACCCGAUAUUCGAUCAAUGAACUAAGUUACCCUGGGGAUAACAGCGCAAUCUACUUCAAGAGCCCAUAUCGACAAGUAG
rnacentral:rRNA from 1 species